UCAUACUUUAAUCAAAAUACC
rnacentral:piRNA from 1 species